rnacentral:tRNA from 1 species
GCCGCACGGACCGUCUACACUCGGUAGGACUGCCUCUCGAAGGCAGGGGUUGCUGGUUCGAUCCCAGCCGGGCGCGCCA